ACUCAAUAGAUACCCUGGUAGUCCACGCCGUAAACGAUGGAUGCUAGCUGUUAUAGGUAUCGACCCCUGUAGUAGCGAAAGCUAACGCGUUAAGCAUCCCGCCUGUGGAGUACGGUCGCAAGACUAAAACAUAAAGGAAUUGACGGGGACCCGGCACAAGCGGUGGAGCGUGUUGUUUAAUUCGAUGGUAAACGAAGAACCUUACCCAGGUUUGACAUCCUUGGAAUUUCUCCGAAAGGAGAGAGUGCUUUAUUGAGCCAAGUGACAGGUGAUGCAUGGCCGUCGUCAGCUCGUGUCGUGAGAUGUUUGGUUAAGUCCAUCAACGAGCGCAACCCUUGUGAUUAGUUGAAUUUUUCUAAUCAGACUGCCCUGGUAACAGGGAGGAAGGAGGGGAUGAUGUCAGGUCAGUAUUUCCCUUACAUCUGGGGCUACAAACACGCUACAAUGGCCGGUACAAAGGGCAGCCAAGUCGCGAGACGGAGCAAAUCCCAUCAAAGCCCGGUCUCAGUUCGGAUUGCAGGCUGAAACUCG
rnacentral:rRNA from 1 species